UGGGGAUUUUGAACAUGGCGAAAGCUGAUCCAGGCGACGCGCGUGAGGGGACGAAGCCUUCGGGGGUGUAAACCUCUGUUGUGAGGGACGAAUAAGAUCUGGAGGAAAUGCCAGAUCGAUGACGGUACCCUCACGAGAAAGCCCCGGCUAACUACGUGCCAGCAGCCGCGGUAAUACGUAGGGGGCGAGCGUUACCCGGAUUCACUGGGCGUAAAGGGGGCGCAGGCGAUCCAGUAUGUCGGGUGUGAAAUCCCACAGCUCAACUGUGGAAUUGCGCCCGAAACUACUGGGUUUGGGGCUGGUAGAGGGAGACGGAACUGCUGGUGUAGGGGUGGAAUCCGUAGAUAUCAGCAGGAACGCCGGUGGGGAAGCCGGUCUCCUGGGCCAAGCCCGACGCUGAGGCCCGAAAGCUAGGGGAGCAAACCGGAUUAGAUACCCGGGUAGUCCUAGCCGUAAACGAUGCCCACUAGGUGUGGGGGAGUCAUUCCUCCGUGCUGUAGCUAACGCGUUAAGUGGGCCGCCUGGGGAGUACGCCCGCAAGGGUGAAACUCAAAGGAAUUGGCGGGACCCCGCACAAGCGGUGGAGCGUGUGGUUUAAUUGGAUGCUAAGCCAAGAACCUUACCAGGGCUUGACAUGCAGGUGGUACCAACCCGAAAGGGAAGGGACCCUUUCCUUUUGGAAAGGGAGCCUGCACAGGUGGUGCACGGCCGUCGUCAGCUCGUGCCGUGAGGUGUUGGGUUAAGUCCCGCAACGAGCGCAACCCCUGCCCUUAGUUGCCAGCGGUUCGGCCGGGCACUCUAAGGGGACCGCCGGCGACGAGCCGGAGGAAGGAGGGGACGACGUCAGGUACUCGUGCCCUUUAUGCCCUGGGCUACACACGCGCUACAAUGGGUGGUACAGUGGGUCGCGACCUCGCGAGAGGGAGCCAAUCCCCAAAACCAUCCUCAGUUCAGAUCGCAGGCUGCAACCCGCCUGCGUGAAGCCGGAAUCGCUAGUAAUCGCGGAUCAGCCAUGCCGCGGUGAAUACGUUCCCGGGGUU
rnacentral:rRNA from 1 species